rnacentral:rRNA from 1 species
AUUGAACGCUGGCGGCAAGCCUAACACAUGCAAGUCGAACGAGUGGCGGACGGGUGAGUACUGUCUGGGAAACUGCCUGAUGGAGGGGGAUAAUUACUGGAACCGGUAGCUAAUACCGCAUACCAUCGGAUGUGCCCAGAGGGGUUUAGCUAGUAGGUUGGGUAAAGGCUAACCUAGGCGACGCUCCCUAGCUGGUCUGAGAGGAUGACCUGCCACACUGGAACGGAGACACGGUCCAGACUCCUACGGGAGGCAGCAGUGGGGAAUAUUGCAAAAUGGGCGCAAGCCUGAUGCAGCCAUGCCGCGUGUAUGAAGAAGGCCUUCGGGUUGUAAAGUACUUUCAGCGGGGAGGCGUUACCCGCAGAAGAAGCACCGGCUAACUCCGUGCCAGCAGCCGCGGUAAUAC